AACGAACGCUGGCGGCAUGCCUAACACAUGCAAGUCGAACGAGAUCUUCGGAUCUAGUGGCGCACGGGUGCGUAACGCGUGGGAAUCUGCCCCUUGCUUCGGAAUAACAGUGAGAAAUUACUGCUAAUACCGGAUGAUGUCUUCGGACCAAAGAUUUAUCGGCAAGGGAUGAGCCCGCGUAGGAUUAGGUAGUUGGUGGGGUAAUGGCCUACCAAGCCGACGUUCCUUAGCUGGUCUGAGAGGAUGAUCAGCCACACUGGGACUGAGACACGGCCCAGACUCCUACGGGAGGCAGCAGUGGGGAAUAUUGGACAAUGGGCGAAAGCCUGAUCCAUCAAUGCCGCGUGAGUGAUGAAGGCCUUAGGGUUGUAAAGCUCUUUUACCAGGGAUGAUAAUGACAGUACCUGGAGAAUAAGCUCCGGCUAACUCCGUG
rnacentral:rRNA from 1 species